GAGGCGACCGCUGUGGGAGUCCGAUUAAGCCAUGCGAGUCGAGAGAAUAAGAUUCUCGGCAUACCGCUCAGUAACACGUGGAUAACGUGCCCUGUGCUGGGGGAUAACCUCGCGAAAGUGAGAACAAUACCCCAUGGGUCACUAUGCCUGGAACGGUUAGUGGCUGAAAGCUCCGGCGGCACAGGAUGGGUCUGCGGCGUAUCAGGUCGUAGGGGGUGUAACGUACCUCCUAGCCUUCGACGCGUACGGGUUGUGAGAGCAAUUGCCCGGAGAUGGAUUCUGAGACACGAAUCCAGGCCCUACGGGGCGCAGCAGGCGCGAAAACUUGACAAUGCGAGAAAUCGUGAUCAGGGGACUCCAGUUGGCUGGAUCAAAAGUCCAGUCUGAACCGACUUUAAAUCGGUCGGGUAAUAGGGGCGGGAAAGACCGGUGCCAGCCGCCGCGGUAAUACCGGCGCCCCAAGUGGUCGUCACUAUUAUUGGGCCUAAAACGUCCGUAGCCGGUUUGGUAAAUCCGUGGGUAAAUCAGACAGCCUAACUGUCUGAAUUCUGCGGGGACUGCCAGACUUGAGACCGGGAGAGGUGCGGGGUACCUGCGGGGUACCGGUAAAAUGGGAUCAUCCCGUAGAGACCACCUGUUGCGAAGGCGCCGCACUAGAACGGAUCUGACGGUCAGGGACGAAGCCUAGGGGCACGAACCGGAUUAGAUACCCGGGUAGUCCUAGGUGUAAACGCUGUGGACUUGGUGUCGGGGACCUUCUGAGGGUUUCCGGUGCCGGAGUGAAGAUGUUAAGUCCACUGCCUGGGGAG
rnacentral:rRNA from 1 species